rnacentral:lncRNA from 1 species
UGUAAGUUGCGAUAACAGAAUUCUCGUCGAAAAAUUUCAGCAACUUACGAUGAAAAUUUGCAGCAAUAUAGGAACGAAUUUUUUUUUUUUUUGGAUUUUCGAAUAGGGAUAACUAAAUUGCAGCAGUAGUAAGGUAGGAAACCAGAACCUGUUGCAAUUCACGGGGAGAUCAAAGGAUGAUCUGUGGUGGUGGAGAUGACGGUGGAAUUUGGCGACGAUCUUUUAAGCAAUUGUGGGAAUUGCUUUGGGCGGUUGUGGAGGGUUGAUGGAUGACUGUGGAAGGGCAGCGAGAUGUCAAGAAUGCUGCUCUGAUACCAGGUGUUAGAACCCUUGCAGAUUCUAAACUUGGGGUUGAUCUCUUUAAGGGAUCGGCCUCCUUGGAACUCUAUAGGGGUUCCUCCCUCCAAGUUGCUGCUCAAAGGC